rnacentral:rRNA from 1 species
CACGCAGGCGGCCUGGUAAGUCAGAUGUGAAAGCCCGGGGCUUAACCCCGGAAGUGCAUUUGAAACUAUUAGGCUUGAGUAUGGGAGAGGGAAGUGGAAUUCCUGGUGUAGAGGUGAAAUUCGUAGAUAUCAGGAGGAACACCGGUGGCGAAGGCGACUUCCUGGACCAAUACUGACGCUGAGGUGCGAAGGCGUGGGGAGCAAACA